GGCUAUAUAUGUGUAUGUGAGACUCAUCUUCUGUUCUUCUUUGCAGAUAGGUUCAGUUUUAAAGAAGCUGUUUGAUGAUGGAGUUGUGAAGAGGGAGGAUUUAUUUGUUACCUCCAAACUCUGGUAAUCAAAUUUUGUUCACAAAUAUAUUCAAAAUGUGAUCAGGUUCUGAAUUCAUUUGGGAGAAUUCAAAACUCCAAUGUGAUAGUUAAUAUUUGAAGAUGAUUAUUUGCUAUGUAAAGCUGGUUGAUGAAACUUGUCAGUGUGAGUUACUUUAAUUUUGAAGUGUGAAACAAGAACAUCUUCCAUUAUAUGGGGCAAGAACUAGUUUUCCAUUAUAAUGGAUGUAAAUUAUGCUAUGGUACUGUCGUCUUUGUAAUUUGUGCACGUUUCGUUACAAAAUACUCUUUAUGCCUUUGCUGCUUCACCUUCUUUUUGGGUUUGAUCCAAAGCUAGUCUUGAGGUUCUCGAACGUUGUAGUUCUUAUACUAAUCACUUCAUCUUACUCUUCUCUUUCACAUCCGGUCUUUAUUGACUGACUUUUUAAGCAUUCAACCUAGAACUGAUCUCUUAACUUCUGCAGGUGUUCUGAUCAUGCACCAGAAGAUGUACCCAUGGCAUUAGAUAAAACAUUGGAAGAUUUGAAACUUGACUAUCUUGAUUUGUAUCUUGUACGUAAAUUUUCGUGAUAUUAACCUUUUAUUAAAAUUUUGACAAUUUAAAAGUUAACGCAAGAUGACCUUAUAAGAAGACAGUAUGCAUGAAUUCGUAGAUCUAGAAUAACACAGAAUCAGCUUGAUCCAUAGACAUCUUUCUUUUCUUUUCUUUGAGAGGGAUAUUUUGCAUCUUUACUGUUGGAAAAAUUAUAUCAUGGGCUAAUGAAUGGACCUGUCUAAUUGUGAAGAUCCAUUGGCCUGCCCGGUUGAGGAAGGGGGCUGUUGGCAUUAAUCCAGAAGACUUUGUUCCAGUUGAUAUACCUACCACAUGGAAGGCCAUGGAAGCACUCUACGACUCUAGUAAGGCCCGAGCUAUUGGAAUUUGCAAUAUAUCCACCAAAAAGCUUGGUGAUCUAUUGGAUGUAGCUCGCAUUCCUCCGGCUGUCGUCCAAGUUGAGUGCCAUCCGGUGUGGCAGCAGACCAAACUACGAGAAUUCUGUAAAUCAAAGGGAGUUCACCUCUCUGUGAGUUGGCAAAACUCGGUUACUUAACAUUACACAAUGAUCCUUUGGUUCAUGUCUCUAAGAAUGAGGAAACUUCUUUUGGUCUUCUCUCUCUUUGUGGUGGUGGGGGUAGUUAUAUUUCAAUUUGAUAAUCAUAAUUGCUUGGCUCACCAUUAAAAGUUUAAAUCUGAGAACGGUUUUUACCUUUGAUUUUUUUUGCAUUUUAAUCAACGUGUUAAUUUUCUUAAAAGGGAUAUUCACCACUUGGUUCGCCUGGAACGGUGAUGUACAAGACCAAUGUUCUCAAGCAUCCUGUUAUAGUCACUACCGCAGAAAAAUUGGGUAAAACUCCUGCUCAGGUUGCUCUUCGAUGGGGUUUGCAGAUGGGUCAUAGUGUACUUCCCAAGAGCACAAAUGAAUCAAGGAUCAAAGAGAACUUUGAUGUUUUUGAUUGGUCUAUACCUGAUGACUUGUUUGCCAAGUUCUCCAAAAUUGAUCAGGCAAGUUAUUUCCAUUUCAUUACAUUAAAUCCCUUUGAGAUUUUAUGGGUGUAUUUCUUCUCGAGGGAAGUUCUGAGUAGUGCAACAAUCUAUUUUGUGAAUACAGCUGAGAAGAGUUAGAUAUUAGAUGAAUAGUACUCACUAGCAAUUUUUUGAUUCGUCCCCAUCAUGUGAAUCCCAUACAGUUGUUGUCAUUAAAUAUUAGUACUACAACUUAUAGGUCAUACUUGUGAGGCAUGUUUCGUAGGCAGUAUUAGAUCAAACUGGACAUUAAUAGAUAAGAUUUAAUUCAUUUCCCAUACAUGCCUACAUGCAUGCAGCAUCACCAACAAUAAAGAUUUUGAUGUUAAAAUUUUUGCCAAGUUGCUUCACAUCUACACCGUUUUUUACACAGCGAACAAAAUUUGAUUUUAAGAACUUUGGCAUUUUCUUUCCACAGCUCGUAAGAAAUGCGUUUUUCUAUGCUGGCAGGAAAGACAAGUUACAGGUAAUUUUUUUGUCCACGAGAAGUUCGGCUCAUACAGAACCGUCGAAGAUAUAUGGGAUGGUGACAUUUGAGCUGGCUUUGCAAGCAUAGAUGUUCUGGUAACUUAUGAUUUCUAGUUAAUGUGUGUAAUUUCAUACUGGAAAAAAUGUUUCCUGUUAAUCAUGCUUCCAUCGAAAGUUUGAAGUUUGUCCUGAUGCUGAAGGAGUUUAAAGUUUGAACUAUUUUGAGAAAUUUC
rnacentral:lncRNA from 1 species